rnacentral:rRNA from 1 species
AUACGUAGGGUGCAAGCGUUAAUCGGAAUUACUGGGCGUAAAGCGUGCGCAGGCGGUUUUGUAAGACAGAGGUGAAAUCCCGGGCUCAACCUGGGAACUGCCUUUGUGACUGCAAGGCUAGAGUACGGCAGAGGGGGAUGGAAUUCCGCGUGUAGCAGUGAAAUGCGUAGAUAUGCGGAGGAACACCGAUGGCGAAGGCAAUCCCCUGGGCCUGCACUGACGCUCAUGCACGAAAGCGUGGGGAGCAAACAGGAUUAGAUACCCGGGUAGUCCACGCCCUAAACGAUGUCAACUGGUUGUUGGGGAUUUAUUUUCUCAGUAACGAAGCUAACGCGUGAAGUUGACCGCCUGGGGAGUACGGCCGCAAGGUUAAAACUCAAAUGAAUUGACGGGG